CGGAGGGGGGGGGGCCUAUACUGCAGUCGAGCGACUGAUUAGAAGCUUGCUUCUAUGACGUUAGCGGCGGACGGGUGAGUAACACGUGGGCAACCUGCCUGUAAGACUGGGAUAACUUCGGGAAACCGAAGCUAAUACCGGAUAGGAUCUUCUCCUUCAUGGGAGAUGAUUGAAAGAUGGUUUCGGCUAUCACUUACAGAUGGGCCCGCGGUGCAUUAGCUAGUUGGUGAGGUAACGGCUCACCAAGGCAACGAUGCAUAGCCGACCUGAGAGGGUGAUCGGCCACACUGGGACUGAGACACGGCCCAGACUCCUACGGGAGGCAGCAGUAGGGAAUCUUCCGCAAUGGACGAAAGUCUGACGGAGCAACGCCGCGUGAGUGAUGAAGGCUUUCGGGUCGUAAAACUCUGUUGUUAGGGAAGAACAAGUACGAGAGUAACUGCUCGUACCUUGACGGUACCUAACCAGAAAGCCACGGCUAACUACGUGCCAGCAGCCGCGGUAAUACGUAGGUGGCAAGCGUUAUCCGGAAUUAUUGGGCGUAAAGCGCGCGCAGGCGGUUUCUUAAGUCUGAUGUGAAAGCCCACGGCUCAACCGUGGAGGGUCAUUGGAAACUGGGGAACUUGAGUGCAGAAGAGAAAAGCGGAAUUCCACGUGUAGCGGUGAAAUGCGUAGAGAUGUGGAGGAACACCAGUGGCGAAGGCGGCUUUUUGGUCUGUAACUGACGCUGAGGCGCGAAAGCGUGGGGAGCAAACAGGAUUAGAUACUCUGGUAGUCCACGCCGUAAACGAUGAGUGCUAAGUGUUAGAGGGUUUCCGCCCUUUAGUGCUGCAGCUAACGCAUUAAGCACUCCGCCUGGGGAGUACGGGUCGCAAGACUGAAACUCAAAGGAAUUGACGGGGGCCCGCACAAGCGGUGGAGCAUGUGGUUUAAUUCGAAGCAACGCGAAGAACCUUUACCAGGUCUUGACAUCUUCUGACAACUCUAGAGAUAGAGCGUUCCUUUC
rnacentral:rRNA from 1 species